GUUCAGGACAGGUAGAAAGGAUG
rnacentral:piRNA from 1 species